AAUGCAGUCGAACGGUAGAUUACUUUCGGGUAGUUGAGAGUGGCGAACGGGUGCGUAACGCGUAUGCAACCUACCCUAUACAGGGGGAUAGCCCGGAGAAAUCUGGAUUAAUACCCCAUGGCAUCAUUGAGCCGCAUGGUUUAAUGAUUAAAGAUUCAUCGGUAUAGGAUGGGCAUGCGUCUGAUUAGCUAGUUGGCGGUGUAACGGACCACCAAGGCUACGAUCAGUAGGGGUUCUGAGAGGAAGGUCCCCCACACUGGCACUGAGAUACGGGCCAGACUCCUACGGGAGGCAGCAGUAGGGAAUAUUGGGCAAUGGACGAGAGUCUGACCCACCCAUGCCGCGUGCAGGAAGACGGCGUUCUGCGUUGUAAACUGCUUUUAUCUGGGAAGAAAAUGCCCCUGCGGGGGAAAUUGCCGGUACCAGAUGAAUAAGCACCGGCUAACUCCGUGCCAGCAGCCGCGGUAAUACGGAGGGUGCAAGCGUUGUCCGGAUUUAUUGGGUUUAAAGGGUGCGUAGGCGGCUAUUUAAGUCAGUGGUGAAAGACUCCGGCUCAACCGGAGCAGUGCCAUUGAUACUGGAUAGCUUGAGUAUUGGAGGGGUACAUGGAAUUGAUGGUGUAGCGCUGAAAUGCAUAGAUACCAUCAGGAACACCGAUAGCG
rnacentral:rRNA from 1 species